AUUGAACGCUGGCGGCAGGCCUAACACAUGCGAGUCGAGCGGAUGAAGGGAGCUUGCUCCUGGAUUCAGCGGCGGACGGGUGAGUAAUGCCUAGGAAUCUGCCUGGUAGUGGGGGAAAAGGUCCGGAAACGGGCCCUAAUCCCCAAUCCGUCCGGAGGAGGAAAGGGGGGGAUCUUCGGACCUCACGCAAUCAGAUGAGCCUAGGUCGGAUUAGCGAGUUGGUGGGGUAAAGGCCUACCAAGGCGACGAUCCGUAACUGGUCUGAGAGGAUGAUCAGUCACACUGGAACUGAGACACGGUCCAGACUCCUACGGGAGGCAGCAGUGGGGAAUAUUGGACAAUGGGCGAAAGCCUGAUCCAGCCAUGCCGCGUGUGUGAAGAAGGUCUUCGGAUUGUAAAGCACUUUAAGUUGGGAGGAAGGGCAGUAAGUUAAUACCUUGCUGUUUUGACGUUACCAACAGAAUAAGCACCGGCUAACUUCGUG
rnacentral:rRNA from 1 species